AUUAAACAUUUACCAUUAAACAUUUACUAGCGUGCCUCUGAUUCUAACUCCUGUGAAUCUGGAGUUAGUCAUGCUGGAAUGGAGAGAGACUUAGGGCAAGAAGAACAAUUAGAAGGCAAUUUCAAUUGUCUCGGUGAGAGGAGGUGAGGGCCUGUGCAGUGGUGGUGUCUGUGCGAGUACAAAGAAGGCAAUGGGGUUAAGUGACUUGCCCAGGGUCACACAACUAUACAUAGCAUAGGGGGCAGGACUGCUCCUCACCUUGGAACACUACUCUCCUAGUCAGACAGCCCUGUAUGUGUGACCCGGAACUUGGUGGGAAGAAGAAGAAGGCCAAAAGAAAUCACAAAUGGGAC